UACGUAGGGAGCAAGCGUUGUCCGGAAUCAUUGGGCGUAAAGCGCGCGUAGGCGGCCCUGUAAGUCCGUUGUGAAAGUCAAAGGCUCAACCUUUGAAAGCCGAUGGAUACUGCAGGGCUAGAGUCCGGAAGAGGCGAGUGGAAUUCCUGGUGUAGCGGUGAAAUGCGCAGAUAUCGGGAGGAACACCAGUAGCGAAGGCAGCUCGCUGGGACGGUACUGACGCUAAGGCGCGAAAGCGUGGGGAGCAAACAGG
rnacentral:rRNA from 1 species